rnacentral:rRNA from 1 species
AGUGAACGCUGGCGGCGUGCUUAACACAUGCAAGUCGAACGAGAACGGAUUAUAGCUUGCUAUAAUUGUCAGCUAAGUUGCGCACGGGUGAGUAAUGUAUAGGUAAUAUGCCUCUUACUAAGGGAUAACAAAUGGAAACGUUUGCUAAUACCUUAUACUCCUUAUUAACAGAAGUUAACAAGGGAAAGAUUUCUUGGUAAGAGUUUAGCGUGUAGUGUAUCAGUUAGUUGGUGGGGUAAUGGCUUACCAAGACUAUGACACAUAACUGGUUCGAGAGGAUGAUCAGUCACACUGGAAGUGAGACACGGUGCAGACUCCUACGGGAGGCAGCAGUGGGGAAUAUUGCACAAUGGACGAAAGUCUGAUGCAGCAACGCCGCGUGGAGGAUGACACAUUUCGGUGCGUAAACUCCUUUUAUAUGAGAAGAUAAUGACGGUAUUAUAUGAAUAAGCACCGGCUAACUCCGUGCCAGCAGCCGCGGUAACAC